rnacentral:lncRNA from 1 species
AUGGAGAAAGAAGGAUAUGAAGUAAGAUCCACAACGUCAAAGAAAUCUAGCCACUCUUCCACUGCAAGCGUAAUGUUAGCCGCCACUACUGCCCGUGCUAAAGCUGAAGCUGCCCAAAAAAGAGCUGAGUUUGCAAAGAAGGAAGUUGAAUUUAAAAUAGAAAGAGCCAAAUUAGAUGCAAAGCUUGAUGUUCUAGCAAAAGAAAGUGAAGCUGAGGCCGCAGCCGCUGAAGCAGCUGUCUUGGAGUCUGCUGUUGCAAAUUUUGACAUGAGUGAUGAGCACCUGAGCUUACCAAAGGAGACACAGAGUUCUCAUGAGCGAACUACAGACUAUGUCAAUAUGCAUCAGGCACGCAGUGAUUCAGUCAAAUCAAAGGACGUCAAAAUAGAAAAAGGCGAGUAUGCAAAUCGACCUAAGCCACCGGACAUGUCACCGGAUGAACUGCCCUCAGCACCAAAGGACUAUGGCUCCCUCAGACCCCCUGAUCAAAGACAUUACUCACCUGAAAGGCAAGGACAACAGUUACGCUCUGUUAACUAUCAGCAGCACCUCAGCCAUGUCUCACCAGGGUUUACACCGCCCUCUGCUGGACGUUUUCAGUACUACCCUCCAGAUCCAAAUUCCUCUAGGGACUCUAAUGAGCUUGCCAAAUAUUUAAUGAGAGGUCAGUUGUUAACCUCUGAACUCACCAAGUUUGAUGACAAGCCGGAGAACUAUCUAUCUUGGAAGUCAUCUUUCAUCAACGCCAUUGACACUCUAGAGCUUAGGGCGUCUGAACAAAUCGACCUCCUUGUGAAAUCACUUGGCCCAGAAUCUACCAAGCAUGCACAUCGCAUUAAAGCUGUAAACAUAACAAACCCAGCUGUGGCAUUAGAGCUAAUCUGGGAGAGGCUAGAAGAAAUCUAUGGGUCGCCAGAAGCCAUUGAAAGUGCUCUUUUCACCAAACUUGAUCAAUUUCCUAAAAUAGGGCCCAGAGACAAUCAAAAACUAAGAGAGCUGAGUGAUCUGUUGCAGGAAAUAAAUGCAGCAAAACAAGAAGGGUACUUGCAUGGACUCUCCUAUCUCGAUACAGCGCGAGGUGUCGCUCCCAUUGUGGAUAAGCUGCCAUAUGGGAUACAAGACAAGUGGAUGAUGGAAGGCUCACACUACAAGCAGCGGCACAAGGUGACCUUCCCUCCAUUCACGUUCUUCUUACAGUUCAUACAGACACAAGCAAAGGCACGCAACGAUCCAAGCUUCAAUCUGCUGUCAACCUGCAACUCUGGAGUUAAAAGGGACAAGCUUGGAGAUGGUUACAGCAACAACCGCAGGUCAGUUUCAGUGCAUAAAACCAACGUUACGGCCAUAUCUGAGGAAGGACCGGACAAAUGUUGUCCUGUGCACAACAAACCUCACGCCUUACAACAGUGCAGAAGUUUCAGAGAAAAGCCAAUUCAGGAACGAAAGGCAAUAUUAAAGCAACACAACAUCUGUUUCAAGUGCUGCGCUUCUAACAAACAUGUAGCUCGCGACUGUCAAGCAGAAAUCAAAUGCUCUGAAUGUAACAGUGAUAAGCACCCAACAGCUCUGCAUUCAGAUGUUCCUCGCUUUCCCAAAGCUCUUCAGCCCCCAGCAAGUCACGGCGGGGAGAAACAAGAGCUACAGGAGACUGCAGUUGUUUCAAGUUGCACUGAGGUAUGUGGGGAAGGAUUUUCUGGGAAAUCUUGCUCAAAAAUAUGCCUGGUUAACGUUUAUCCUGCCAACGAUCCUAGUAAACGCCAGAGAAUGUAUGUCAUGCUAGAUGACCAGAGUAACGUUUCACUAGCAUGCUCUGAGUUUUUUGACAUGUUCGAGGUUAAUGGUAAGACAGAGCCAUACACCCUCCAGACAUGCAGUGGCAUAGGUCUCACUUCUGGCAGAAGAGCCUCUGGGUAUAUGAUAGAGGCAAUCGAUAGCUCCCUCGCUAUUCAGCUGCCCAUGUUAAUCGAGUGCAACAUGAUUCCCAACAAAAGAGAGGAAAUUCCCACUCCCUCCGCGGCUUACGCACACAGUCACCUCAAAGGCAUAGCACACAAAAUACCACCCUUGGACAGUGGUGCAGACAUUUUGCUGUUGCUUGGAAGAGACAUUUUGAGAGUUCAUAAAGUGCGCAGUCAGAUCAAUGGUCCGCACAAUGCACCAUACGCACAGAGGCUGGACUUAGGCUGGGUGAUAAUAGGAGAUGUGUGCUUAGGCAAUACUCAUAAGCCUUCCCAAGUCUCCACCUUUAAGACUCACGUUCUAUCGGAUGGAAGACCAACUCAUUUUUCCCCGUGCGAAAGCCACUUUACUGUCAAGCCAGACACCAGUCUUUUAAAUCGACACUUAGUACUUGGUGGUUCAAACAUAAAGGACAGAACACAAAACAGAACUAUAGGAAACAAUGUUUUCUGCCAGACCAAGGAUGACAAUAAGCUUGCACCCUCCAUGGCAGAUCUGCAGUUCCUGAAUAUCAUGGACAAUGAGUGUUUCCAGGAUGAGUCACAAAGCUGGGUGGCUCCAUUGCCGUUCCGCCAGCCCAGAGCAUUGCUGCCUAACAAUCGCCGCUACGCACUCAGUCGCCUCAAGUCACUUGAACGAACUCUAGACAAAAACCCAGAAAUGAAAGCUCACCUGAUAGACUUUAUGCAGAAAAUGUUGGACAAUGGGCACGCGGAGCUCGCACCCCCAUUACAAGGGAACAAAGAGUGUUGGUACCUGCCCUAUUUCGGAGUAUACCAUCCUCAAAAGCCGUCACAAAUCCGAGUGGUAUUUGACUCCAGCGCGCAGUUUGAAGGUAUGUCGCUCAACACAGUGCUGUUAUCAGGACCCAAUCUGAACAACAGUCUAUUAGGCGUGCUAGUGAGAUUCAGGAAACAUCCAGUUGCAGUAACCGCAGAUAUCCAGCAGAUGUUCUAUUGCUUCCUGGUGCGCGAGGACUGCAGGGAUGUACUGAGGUUUGUCUGGCACAAAGACAAUGAUCCACAGAAAGAGCUCGUGGAUUACAGGAUGUGCGUGCAUGUAUUUGGAAACAGCCCCUCGCCUGCUGUAGCCACAUAUGGUUUGAGGAGGGCUGCGCAAAAAGGAGAAGCCAAAUACGGGUCAGAUGUUCGCCAUUUCAUUGAGCGUGAUUUUUAUGUUGAUGAUGCUUUAAAGUCUGUUCCCACCAAACAUGAUGCUAUCGACCUCCUGAAACGGACACAAGACAUGCUAGCAGACUCAAACCUUCGCCUCUUAAAAAUAGCAUCAAAUAAGGUUGAAGUGAUGGACGCAUUCUCACCUCAAGACCGAGCCAAGGAUCUCCAAAAUCUGGACCUGUUCAAGGAUGAACUCCCAGAUCAGCGCAGUCUUGGAGUAAAGUGGAAUAUAAUGGAGGACUAUUUCACUUUUCACAUUCCUCACGCUGAAAAGCCAUACACACGAAGAGGAGUCCUUUCAACUGUGAACAGUGUGUUUGACCCGCUCGGGUUUUUGGCCCCAGACACCGUUCGAGGACGUCUGCUUCUAAGAGAGUUGUCGCUACAGACAACAGAGUGGGACUCACCUCUCCCAGAGGAUCUGAAAGGCAGAUGGAUAGAAUGGCAACAGUCCCUCCAAUGCCUCAGCAAAGUCAAUGUUCCACGCACUUACACUAAAAUGUCACUGUCACAGGCUAAAUGUGUAAACUUUGUGUCUUUUCAGAUGCGUCCAUGA